rnacentral:rRNA from 1 species
UGGGGAAUAUUGGACAAUGGGCGCAAGCCUGAUCCAGCCAUGCCGCGUGAGUGAUGAAGGCCCUAGGGUUGUAAAGCUCUUUCACCGGUGAAGAUAAUGACGGUAACCGGAGAAGAAGCCCCGGCUAACUUCGUGCCAGCAGCCGCGGUAAUACGAAGGGGGCUAGCGUUGUUCGGAAUUACUGGGCGUAAAGCGCACGUAGGCGGAUAUUUAAGUGAGGGGUGAAAUCCCAGGGCUCAACCCUGGAACUGCCUUUCAUACUGGGUAUCUCGAGUUCGAGAGAGGUGAGUGGAAUUGCGAGUGUAGAGGUGAAAUUCGUAGAUAUUCGCAGGAACACCAGUGGCGAAGGCGGCUCACUGGCUCGAUACUGACGCUGAGGUGCGAAAGCGUGGGGAGCAAACAGG